GAUGAACGCUGGCGGCGUGCUUAACACAUGCAAGUCGAACGAUGAAGCCCAGCUUGCUGGGUGGAUUAGUGGCGAACGGGUGAGUAACACGUGAGUAACCUGCCCUUGACUCUGGGAUAAGCCUGGGAAACUGGGUCUAAUACUGGAUAUGACUUCUCAUCGCAUGGUGGGGGGUGGAAAGAUUUAUUGGUCUUGGAUGGACUCGCGGCCUAUCAGCUUGUUGGUGAGGUAAUGGCUCACCAAGGCGACGACGGGUAGCCGGCCUGAGAGGGUGACCGGCCACACUGGGACUGAGACACGGCCCAGACUCCUACGGGAGGCAGCAGUGGGGAAUAUUGCACAAUGGGCGCAAGCCUGAUGCAGCGACGCCGCGUGAGGGAUGAUGGCCUUCGGGUUGUAAACCUCUUUCAGUAGGGAAGAAGCGAGAGUGACGGUACCUGCAGAAGAAGCGCCGGCUAACUACGUG
rnacentral:rRNA from 1 species